GGCGAACGCUGGCGGCGUGCUUAACACAUGCAAGUCGAACGGUAAGGCCCUUCGGGGUACACGAGUGGCGAACGGGUGAGUAACACGUGGGUGAUCUGCCCUGCACUUCGGGAUAAGCCUGGGAAACUGGGUCUAAUACCGGAUAGGACUCCUGGCUUCAUGGUUGGGGGUGGAAAGCUUUUGCGGUGUGGGAUGGGCCCGCGGCCUAUCAGCUUGUUGGUGGGGUAAUGGCCUACCAAGGCGACGACGGGUAGCCGGCCUGAGAGGGUGACCGGUCGCACUGGGACUGAGAUACGGCCCAGACUCCUACGGGAGGCAGCAGUGGGGAAUAUUGCACAAUGGGCGCAAGCCUGAUGCAGCGACGCCGCGUGAGGGAUGACGGCCUUCGGGUUGUAAACCUCUUUCAGCUAUGACGAAGCGCAAGUGACGGUAGUAGCAGAAGAAGGACCGGCCAACUACGUGCCAGCCGCCGCGGUAAUAC
rnacentral:rRNA from 1 species